GACGAACGCUGGCGGCGUGCUUAACACAUGCAAGUCGAACGGAAAGGCCCUGCUUUUGUGGGGUGCUCGAGUGGCGAACGGGUGAGUAACACGUGAGUAACCUGCCCUUGACUUUGGGAUAACUUCAGGAAACUGGGGCUAAUACCGGAUAGGAGCUCCUGCUGCAUGGUGGGGGUUGGAAAGUUUCGGCGGUUGGGGAUGGACUCGCGGCUUAUCAGCUUGUUGGUGGGGUAGUGGCUUACCAAGGCUUUGACGGGUAGCCGGCCUGAGAGGGUGACCGGCCACAAUGGGACUGAGAUACGGCCCAGACUCCUACGGGAGGCAGCAGUGGGGAAUAUUGCACAGUGGGGGGGAGCCUGAUGCAGCAACGCCGCGUGCGGGAUGACGGCCUUCGGGUUAUAAACCGCUUUCGCCUGUGACGAAGCGUGAGUGACGGUAAUGGGUAAAGAAGCACCGGCUAACUACGUG
rnacentral:rRNA from 1 species